AACGAACGCUGGCGGCAUGCCUAACACAUGCAAGUCGAACGAGACCUUCGGGUCUAGUGGCGCACGGGUGCGUAACGCGUGGGAACCUGCCCUUAGGUUCGGAAUAACUCCCCGAAAGGGGUGCUAAUACCGGAUAAUGUCUUCGGACCAAAGAUUUAUCGCCUUUGGAUGGGCCCGCGUUGGAUUAGCUAGUUGGUAGGGUAAAAGCCUACCAAGGCGACGAUCCAUAGCUGGUCUGAGAGGAUGAUCAGCCACACUGGGGCUGAGACACGGCCCCGACUCCUACGGGAGGCAGCAGUGGGGAAUAUUCGACAAUGGGCGAAAACCUGAUCCAGCGAUGCCGCGUGAGUGAUGAAGGCCUUAGGGUUGUAAAGCUCUUUUACCCGGGAUGAUAAUGACGGUACCGGGAGAAUAAGCUCCGGCUAACUCCGUG
rnacentral:rRNA from 1 species